GACAGAGGGUGCAAACGUUGCUCGGAAUCACUGGGCGUAAAGGGCGUGUAGGCGGGACAGUAAGUCGGGCGUGAAAUCCCUGGGCUCAACCCAGGAACUGCACUCGAAACUACUAUUCUUGAGUGUCGGAGAGGAAAGCGGAAUUCCUGGUGUAGAGGUGAAAUUCGUAGAUAUCAGGAGGAACACCAGUGGCGAAGGCGGCUUUCUGGACAGUGACUGACGCUGAGACGCGAAAGCGUGGGGAGCAAACAGG
rnacentral:rRNA from 1 species